rnacentral:rRNA from 1 species
GUGCCAGCAGCCGCGGUAAGACGGAGGGUGCUAGCGUUGUUCGGAAUUACUGGGCGUAAAGGGCGCGUAGGCGGCUACGGCAGUCGGGUGUGAAAGCCCGGGGCUCAACCCCGGAACGGCAUCCGAUACUCUGUGGCUAGAGACCGGAAGAGGUGGGUGGAAUACCCAGUGUAGAGGUGAAAUUCGUAGAUAUUGGGUGGAACACCGGUGGCGAAAGCGGCUCACUGGUCCGGUUCUGACGCUGAGGCGCGAAAGCGUGGGGAGCAAACAGGAUUAGAAACCCUCGUAGUCC